AUUAGGAACCUUCAGUGGACCUGUCCAUCCAAAUAACGGAUGGAGCUCCUCUAAGGCCUGGUGGCUAGAUCCCAAUGUCAGUUACAAAAGCUAAGUUUGCGCAAAAAGGUAACGUGUGGAAUGCAUUGUUCAUUUUCUGCAUUUGUUUCUGGAUAUUAAUUCCAUUGCCUAUGUUCAUUUCGUUGUACGAAUUGAAUAUUUUAAAAUUUAACUUCUCUUUUGGUGUUAAUUAACCUCCAGGGGAUAAAUUCAUGUAAAACAAGUGGACAAGAAUAAGAAGAAACUUUAGAAGAUUGAAAGGAAAAUGUUACGUUGGGUGAGUCCUUUUCUCACAAAAGAUUAAAUUUUUAUUAUGUAGGGUUUGAUCCCCAAUAUGAAAAUAUAGGUAUGUUGAUUUGAGUUUUAAGUGUUCAUUCUAUUUUUGAUUUCAUUAAUACAAUUUUCUAAAAGGUCAAGUUAAAUUGGAUUCUUUUUUGUUUUAUUUUUUGUCCAUACAUUGUAAAAAAAGGUGAAACAAAACCCUUGGUAAAUUCAAUCGACGAUUAUAGCUGUGUCUUCAUCCUAUUGCGAUUUUGCGGCGGCUUUUUGUAUAUGUUGCUGUGAUUUGCUCAUUUGCAGUAGCCUUUGUACAUCUUGCUGCAAAUUCUGAUGGUUAUAUCUUUAAAUUGUGAAGUAUGUCUAUUUAGAAUUUUCCUCCAGUCUAUAAUUUUUUUUCAAAAAAUUUUAGUACAAAUAAAUUCAGAAGGCUGAGAUAUAAUCCUAAAACCUUCAUUCUUGAGUAUCUUUCUUCCACUAUCUUCAACCUUAUUGCUUUUCUAUUUGAUUUAUUUAGUGGGAAUUUUGAGAGAUCCUUUUUGUUUUCUUUCAACCUUAUUGCUUCGUUUCAGACGCUUCUCAAGUAUUGUCAAGCAGAAAUUUUGACGAUUGGGAUUACUGUUCCUGGGUCAAGUUUCUUGCGAUUUAGGUUCUCGGGUGGUGGAAUUUAAUAUUGUUGGUGAGGUCAUUCUUCUUCUUCUACUAGAAUUUAUAGAUUUCUAUUCUAUGGGUUUCAAAUUAGAAGGUUUUUUUUGUUUGGGUAAAAAUGAGGGUGUUUUGGUGACAGAUUUUUAAGAUUAUUCCUAUUCAUGUUAGCAUUCGUAUAAGUCACCGUUUGUUUCCGGUACAAAGUUUAUGGCCCUGCAGAAAUAAAAGGUAGCGAUAUUGAUUGGAUGGAGUUAACUUUGCAAUAAAAAAAUCCAAGCAAAUAGAAUUUGGCCAAUUUGGAAAACCAGCAUCCAUUUAAUCAUCACUUACGUAAAAAAAGUUCGGCACUUAAUAAAACAUUUUACAAUAAUUUUUGCUCUAAAAGAUGUAUCAAAUAAAUGAUUUUAUAUGUAACAAGCUACCAAGAAAUGUCACUGUAAACAUAAACAUAGAUUAAUUGUAAAGAUUUCAUCAACUUAGUUGAAUGAGCAUGUAUUGAGAAGACAGGAGAAGACAGAAGAAGAAAUCUAGGAAAUAGAUGUCAUGAUCCUUAUGCAAGCAUGCUUGUAUUCAAGCUAGAAAAAGCCAUCGAAUAUAUUAAAAAAAAAACAAAAACUUAGGGCUUGUUUGAGCCCCAUUGUUUUCAAAAAUGCAUUUUGAAAUAGUAUUAUGAUAGAAAGUGUGUGGUUAAAAAAUAAGAAAAAGAUUUAGAUUUUCAUGUAAUAUUAUUAAAAAAUAUGUGGUUGAUAUAGAGUCAAAUAACUAUUGAAGAAUGUAUUUUGAUAGAAAAAUGGGGAUUAAACACAAGCUUACUUUAUUAUUUUAAAAUAAGCAUGCAGGAUACAAAUGCGCAUUAUGUUGAUAGACGGCAUGUUCAAUAGGAUUUUGAACUCAAUCCUAUACCAGGAAACUAAGAAUUUGUAAUGUGCUACAGAUUGCGGAAUUUUAGGAUAAUGAAAGAUGGAUUGAUAAAUUGUUUUCGCUGGCUAUAUGUUGGCUAGAUUUCCUUUUACACGCAUAUAAAGUGUCACCUCCAAAUCCACAUAUGCAGAAUCCUCCCUACUUAAUCUGUGCAUAUACACUUUGUUACUUAGACUUGGCCGGAAGUGUCGGAUAAAAUCAAUUGUUGAACAUGGGUACUCUUUUUCUUCUUUGGGUUUUCAAAAUCAUUCUGUAAAUUAUUCAUGAUCUCUCUUUCUUAGUUUCAAGCUAGCUUGAUGAUGAUGAAUGAAAGUACCCGAUGAUUGGAAGUCGGUAAGAAAUUCCUCUUUCAUACCUUCAAAUAGGCAUGUUUUUAUUUGGAUACAUUGAUAUAUUUUCAUAUAGACAAACACAUAAAGCACAAAGGGAAUAUAAAGAACAAAGAGAAAUUCUACCCACAACUAAAGGAAACUUUUGCACAAACAUCUAGAUACAUGAACGAUAUGGUUCUCUGACAUUUGUGUACGUUGGCAUAAAUAUGAAUGUCAUCAAGGCAAUUACUCAAAUAUUUAUGUGCUAAUUAUCAUUAGUGCAUUUGUUCAUAUUCUGUUAAUAUUUGAUUGCACUGGCAUUGAGGAUUUGUUUCUCAAUUAAGUUAAUCAGAAUGAGGAUAUAUAAUACCUUGUUCUUAAUCAUGAUGCCGCCUAAAUUUUUAACCGGAAAUGGUGAGAGUUAGUGUCUUCAAUAACGCUCUUAAGAGCAUGUACAAUGCAGAGAAGCUAGGGAAGUGUCAGGUCAUGAUUCAACCAUCCUCCAAAGUCAUUAUUAAGUUUCUCUUCAUGAUGCAAAAGCAUGGUAUACAAAACAUUGUGUGGUGUUAAUUUGUUGUCUAUUUACGCAUGCAAUAUUCUAUCUAUACACUUAAUUCUUUAUCAUGUCUGUAGGAUACAUUGGAGAGUUUAAGUACAUCAAUGAUCACUGAUCUGGUAAAAUUGUGGUUGAACAAAUGUAGAGUCAUCAGCCCUGACUUUGACGUUGCUAUCCAGGAAAUUGAGGAAUGGAAUGCAAGGUUGCUUCCCUUCUGGCAGGUAAUAUAUAAAAAAACAUUGUACAUUAACAUUUGGAUGAUGAUCACUUGGUGAAUAUUGAGCUAUCAACCUGGCCAUAUGAUAAUAUAUAUGUUUUGCACAUGCACCUUUUAUUUCAUGGAAUAGUAUUAUCAAGGAGACUCUAUCUCUUAUUCAAACUUUUAUUAAGGUAUCUUCAAUUAGCAUGUCAAUCGGAUAUCUCCAUUCUUAAAUAGCUUCACAUCUUCCUAUCGUAAAAUGUGAUUAUUAUGUUUGGUUGUACCCUCAUUUCAUUCGUCUUUUCCCCAGUAGGUCGAGCAAAUUGUACUUUGUAUAGUAAUUAGACUUCAAAAAAAAUAUUAUCCUGCCUCAUCAGAUGUACAAUGGUAUGCUGCCAAUCCCAAGAGAAUGCUAAUUGCUGAAGUCCACAAAAUUAAAUUUCAUUUUUCUUACUUUCCUUCCUUCAAUAAAUAUCUUCUUUCAAUUGUUUUAAGCUCAUUUUACUUUUCAGUUUUGGAUACAUUUGUUGGCAUCAUGGAGCAUGAAGAGGCUAGGAGAAAGAAGGUUGAGGGGGAAAGUGUGCAAUCCCUGUGCAAACUAGUUUCUGAUGUAAUGUAAGUGAUCCCUACUUGAAUCAACAUAGUACUUAAAAGAAUUGAGGAAGUGUGUUCCAUGCACUGGUUGCUUGGAGCUUAAUCUUGAUUCUUUAAAUGCUAACUCUUCGUUUCUCGUUCCAUGCACUGGUUGCUUGGAGCUUAAUCUUGAUUCUUUAAAUGCUAACUCUUCGUUUCUCGUCUAAGCAUUUUAUCAAAUAGCUUGUGCGGGAUGAAGAAAUUAAUUUGACAAAGUGGCACUUAGAUGAUUGCUUUUAUUACCUUGACAAUUUUUCCAAGAUUACAACUUUUGUUGCAAGUCUUCAAGGUUAUUAAGUUCCAUUUGCCAUGUAAUAAAAACUAGGUUGUGUCGAAAUUAUUUCCUACUUAUAUGAUGUUUCACAAAAAAGUUGAGUAUCGAAUAAUUCUUAACUUUGUAGAAACGAGUACAUAAAAAAUGUUAUUUAAGAAGUCCCCUAAAAAAAAGGUGAAAAAAAAUCUAUUUCUAGAAACACUAAAAUUACCUUCGAAAUGACAAAGCUCGUGCAUGGCACGGGCAAUAAACUAGUAUAAAUAGAAGGGUGCAUGAUAUAGAAGAAGUUACUUAUUUUAAUGGUAGUCACUGUACAUAGUUUUUUUGAUAGCUUACAGCAUUUACAUAUUUCCAGAAUUCAAAAGAUAGCAAAAUAAUUAAACCAACUCUUUCAUCUGAAAACAAUAAGUUUUCUGGUUUCUUAACUAAAGACUCAAUAUUAAGUUACUACAGUACGACGAAUUUCGUGUAUUAAAAUACAAAAAUUGUUACAAAUUGUAUUUUGAUAAAAUACAAGUGAUUUGACCUUCAUGUAAUUGCAAAAUUGUAAAAAUCUUCUGAUAAAUGAUCUGAAUAUUUGAAGACGAGGGGUCACGUGGCUUGAAACCUAGUCUUCGAUAAUUUUUUGAAAAUUUGAUUUUUUGAGACUUGACCUAUUCAGCACUUAGAUUGCUUGGACUUGAACUUGGAUUUGAUUUGAUGUAAAGAAAACUUUGAUCUUCUUGAAUUUGGUGUGAACCUGUUUUGUUCAAAGAAGAUUUUGAUUUUCUUAGGGUUCAAAAGAUUUGGGUUUGAGAGGAUUUAUUCUCUUCCUUCGACGUUGAAAUUUUUUCAGUACUUCGUAAUUGUCUUCUAUGCUUUCACUUCUUCUUGAUUUUCUUCUCCCUCCUCCCCUUAUGGAUAAUUGGUCCUAUUUAUAGGGGAAUUUCCGUGCUAAUUUUGGUAAUACUAAAUUAUAUUUAAUUAAAAUGAAUAAUUGAGUAAUUUAUUAUUUUAUUUAUUUAUUUAAAAUGUGAUAUCGGCUUUUCGGUUUUAUGGACUAUAGUAGGCUUCAAUUUAAUUGGCAAAUGAUUUAAAUUGAUCCAAUCCAUUUUUUAAAAAUUUUUUUAUAUCAACAAAUGUCCCCUCAAGAUUUAUUUAUUUAUUAUGAAAUAAAUAAAUAAAUCAUAAUAAAUAAAUAAAUCUUGAUUUUCGAUUUUUUUUUCGCCUAUUUAUUUGAGUGAAUUAUGAGAUUUGAAAACAGGUUUGUUAAAUCUAGCAAACAGAGGUAAAUAAAUGUUUUUCCUUCCCCUCCCCCCUCCCUCUUGUUUGUAUUUUUUUUAUCCUUCUCUUGGUUUCAUCGUUGACCCUUUAUUAUUUUUUUAAUAUUUCUCGAUUUCUGCAGCCAGCGGAAAAAAAAUGGCGGCGGAAACCAUUGAUUUGGAAUUGGUUUAGGAAUUGGAAUUAUUAUCUCCUUUGUAUAUUUUUAUUUUUAAAUUUUUUUUAAUUAUUAAUUAGCUUUCUUGGUUUCUGUAAAACCAAACAAUUGUGGGCAGAAACCAAAAAACCAUGGUUUCUACCAAAUUUUUUUUCUUCUUUUUCCCCUUUAUUUAUUUUUUCAAUUUCUUUCUUUUUAUUUCUUUUUAGUUCUUUUCUUCUUCAUUUUUUUUUAUAGAAUGUCUUUUUAUUUUGGGUUGAAUUUUGAUUUUUGUUUUAUUUUUUCUUAGUGUGGGUAUUUUAUUGAAGUCGAAACUAACAUUCUUCAUUUUUUUUUUCAAGAACUCAACUUUUGAAGUAAGCCGAGAAUUUUGAGGUUUGAGGGUUUUGUGUGUGUGUGUGGAAAUUAAAUUUUUGUGCUGCAACUACUUUAGAAGUUGGAAAAUAUAUGCUUAUGAACAAACUUAAAAUUACAAACCUUUUCAUAUGAAUUGAGGACCAAGGACUCUCACUUUUCACCAUCUAAUGCACUUUUUGUUUAGGACUAAGAAUCUGUUCCUUCGACUGUCCAAGACAUUUUGUGUUGAGGAACAAAGACUUGUUCGUUCGAUCAUCCAAUGCGCUUUAUGUUGAGGAUCAAGGAUUGGCUCCUUCGAUUGUCCAUGGCGUUGAGGACCAAGAACCAGCUUCUUCGACCAUUCAAGACAUUUUGUGUUGAGUACUAAGGACUUGCUUCUUCAACCGUCCGAGGGACUUUGUGUUGAGGACCGUCCAAGGCACUUUGUAUUUAGGACCAAGGGCUGGCUCCUUCGACUGUCCAAGGCACUUUGUGUUUGGGACAUUUACAUAUUUGGAAGGCUCGUAAUUUUAGAUGAUAAUGAAUUUAAGAGAUUUACUACCCCUUUUUAUUUGCUUUCUUUUUUCUUUUGCAUGAUAGGAAUAAGUUCCAAUGAUAAAGUAUACUCUAACAUACACGAAAUUAUUGAGCUUAAAAAUUAAGGCAAAAGUUAUUUGCGUUUCAAAGAUACCAAUUUGAAGUACCAUGCCUAGACUUGCCAACGAAUGAUCCUUCUCCUGACCUCCUGAGCCAUUGUUGGAGUUGUAUAUGCCUACCAUUAGUGAAUGUCACGAAAGUUUGGAUAUUGGCAAGUGCAACCACUUCCGCAGAGCAUGGAGUGCAUCCCAAAGGCUGAANUUGGUUGUACCCUCAUUUCAUUCGUCUUUUCCCCAAUAGGCCAAGCAAAUUAUACUUUGUGUAAUAAUUAGACUUCAAAAAAUAUUAUCCUGCCUCAUUAGAUGUACAAUGGUAUGUUGCCAAUCCCAAGAGAAUGCUAACUGCUGAAGUCCACAAAAUUAAAUUUCAUUUUUCUUACUUUCCUUCCUUCAAUACAUAUCUUUUUUCAAUUGUUUUAAGCUCAUUUUACUUUUCAGUUUUUGAUACAUUGUGCUGAUUACAUCUGCUGGCAUCAUUGACCAUGAAGAGGCUAGGAGAAAGAAUGUUGGGGGAAAAAAAGUGCGCAAUCCCUGCGCACAUUAGUUUAUGAUGUAAUGUAAGUGAUCCUUACUUGAAUCAACAUAGAACUUAGAAUUGAGGAAGGGUGUUCCAUGCACUGGUUGCUUGGAGCUAAAUCUUGAUUCUUUAAAUACUAACUCUUCGUUUCUUGUCUAAGCAUUUUAUCAAAGAGCUUGUGCAGGAUAAAGAAAUUAAUUUGACAAAGUCACUUUGGCGAUUGCUUUUAUUACCUUGAUGAUUUUUGUUAUCCAAGAUUACAACUUCUGUUGCAAGUCUUCAAGGUUAUUAGGUUCAAUUUGCCAUGUAAUAAAAAUUAGGUCGUUUCGAAAUUAUUUCCUACUUUCAUAUGUUUGAUAAAAAGGUUGAGUAUCGAAUAAUUCUUUAACUUUGCGUAAGCGAGUACAUAAAAAAUGUUAUAUUAUGCACCAAAGAUUUAAGAAGUCACCAAAAAAAAAAAAAAGUGGAAAAAAUUUUAUAUAUUCUAGGAACACUAACAUUACCUUCGAAAUAACAAAGCGCGUGCAUGGCAUGGGCAAUAGAUUAGUAGUACAAUAAAGAGACCUUAACUAAUUACAAUACAAUAUCUUUAUUUUAAAUAGAAUACUACUUUUGGAGAUAAUAUAGCUCACUACACUAGAUAAAGAAAUACAAUAUAAUGAUAUAUACAAUUGGAAAAUAUCAUUUUCUUAUAUAUAUAGAAAGUGAAGAAAAAUAUAAAAAAAUAAAAACCAUUAUCAUCUCACCUACACUUAUUUCAGUUUGGACCGAGGCAUAGAUGAUAGAUAUACAUAUUAUGUGAUUAAUUGUCGCCUCAUAGAUCCCUCGCGAGAUGUUAGCCAUGGUUAACUUCUGUUCAUAGGGUUAAUCUCUAAUCUUUUGUCUUGAAGGGUAGCUUAAAUUACUUAAUGCUAGGUAGCAAAAACCUUAAAAAAAAGGUCUCCCAACCGUUUUGUGCCAGCAUUUAGUGCUAAAUGUGUAAAUUACCCUAUUCUUUAUUCUCUCCAAAUUCUUACAGAUCAACUCUAAUUAACGUGAGCCCAUUUUUCCUUUCUUUUUGUACAUAAAAUGCAGGAGGAUACUAUUAAGUGGUUCCCCGGGUAUAACUGGAAAGAGGGGAAUGGAAUCCAAGAUGAAGUUUAAGAGAGAUUCACUUAUAGAGAUGAAGAAAGGAUAAGAGAACAAAAAUAGAGUUACAAUUUAAUCAGAAUUUUAAAAUAGAUUUGAUCAGAUCGUAGAAGUAUUUCGAUAAUGUUCUAAUUUAGUAGAAGUUCAUUGGACUUGAUAAUAGAUGAUUUAUUCAUUGUAAUAUUCAACCCGUAAUUAUAUGAAUAGUCUUCAAUUAUUCAACCAAUUAAGCUUGUCUCAUAUGAAAAAUCGAGAAACACCACCAACUCAAAAUCAUAUAAAAAGACAGCAUAAUUUGGCCCUAUUAGAGUUAAAGAACUGCACAUAGAGAAUCAGAUAUGGCAUAUGCUUUGUACCUUGAAAAGUCAUCAACCAAGUUGGCCCGGAGAGUCAGUGUCGGCAAUAUCAUCAAAAAGUAAAAAAAAAAAAAAAAAAAAAAGGAAAAGUGCGUCAGAUAAUUAUUUCACUCCAUUGAAUUGCUAGUGAAGAAUAAUUACGUAGACCAAGUUAUACUGUUCAAUGGAAGUUUCAGGAAGGCAUAUAAUAGCAGCAGUUGCAAUAUCAGGAUGCAGCUUAAUCUUGGUGUCAUAUCUACGGCAGAAAAUUCUCCGGUUCUGUCCCAACCACUCUCAUGGAAAGUCGACCAUGAUUGCAGACAGAGAGAGACAUGUUUCCUCUACCAAAAAUGAAUGCUCAGCAACAGGUAUCUCCAAACCAAGACAAUAAUAUUAGAUGGGAAAUGCUACUUGUAUACGCUGGUUUACCACCUCGUUUACAGAAUACUGAGUUGACAAGAUUUUUCGGACAAAAAGACGAGGUUUAAAUAGCAUGUAAAAUCUUGCUACCUCAGCACCUGUAACUACUUCUGAUAAAAAAAAAUAUGUAAAAGUAGCAUUUUCCAUAUUAGAUUGAGCCUUUCAAUUUUCCUUUUGUGUGUAUAUGUCUUGGAUGAUCAUGUAUGGGGAGUGUAGUGAUUAGGCCUAGACGACUAUUUAUUGUUACACGUCACAAAGAUUAGCAUUGCAUAAUUUUGCAAACAUAAAUCACAUACGACGAGAUUCAAAUAUUCGCUGUAAUUCAUUAAAAUCGAAGCUAUGAAAUUGAUUUCACCAUAAUUUUUGGUUCCUUGCAUUGACGUUCAAACUUUACAGGUAAAGUUCGAAAACAAGGUUGGUUCUCGGCUAUAAAAGACGCACCAAGUGACGAUAAAUUACUGAGGAAAAGAAGUCACAUUUAGAGACACAGGAUACAAUCUGGAGUCGAGAAAAGAAAGGAAGGAUGAAUCUGCCUGAAAAUUGGAACAAUUUGUAUAAUGGGAUUAAUAGUUACCGAUCUCAGCAGGCUAUUUUAAUGAUGUAUGCUUAAGCGAAAGUAGUAAGUCCUUUGGUUUUAUAUAUAAAAGAACCCUACGCGCUCAAAUAGUCCUAUUACAUAUCUAAACUUCGUCUUAGAGAAAAUCCUAUGAUUAUAUUUCAUCAGAUGAUCAAAUACGGACAUGCUCGUCGCGCAGUGAUGGAUUGAAUGGAUGAUGAAAAGAAUUUAUAUAAAUGACUCUAAAUUCAUUAAGAAAUAAGGAUUUGUUUUGAUUUUCCGAGGUUCAAUCAGUUGAAUAUGUAUGGAAAUUGUAAGAAG
rnacentral:lncRNA from 1 species